rnacentral:rRNA from 1 species
AUUGAACGCUAGCGGGAUGCUUUACACAUGCAAGUCGAACGGCAGCGCGGACUUCGGUCUGGCUGCGAGUGGCGAACGGGUGAGUAAUGUAUCGGAACGUGCCCAGUAGCGGUGGAUAACUACGCGAAAGCGUAGCUAAUACCGCAUACGCCCUACGGGGGCAAGCAGGGGAUCGUAAGACCUUGCACUAUUGGAGCGGCCGAUAUCGGAUUAGCUAGUUGGUGAGGUAACGGCUCACCAAGGCGACGAUCCGUAGCUGGUUUGAGAGGACGACCAGCCACACUGGGACUGAGACACGGCCAAGACUCCUACGGGAGGCAGCAGUGGGGAAUUUUGGACAAUGGGGGCAACCAUGAUCCAGCCAUCCCGCGUGUGCGAUGAAGGCCUUCGGGUUGUAAAGCACUUUUGGCAGGAAAGAAACGUCGCGGGCUAAUACCCCGUGGAACUGACGGUACCUGCAGAAUAAGCACCGGCUAACUACGUG